rnacentral:rRNA from 1 species
CCUACGGGUGGCAGCAGUGAGGAAUAUUGGUCAAUGGACGUAAGUCUGAACCAGCCAAGUAGCGUGCAGGAUGACUGCCCUAUGGGUUGUAAACUGCUUUUAUGCGGGGAUAAAGUCAGCCACGUGUGGUUGUUUGCAGGUACCGCAUGAAUAAGGACCGGCUAAUUCCGUGCCAGCAGCCGCGGUAAUACGGAAGGUCCAGGCGUUAUCCGGAUUUAUUGGGUUUAAAGGGAGCGUAGGCUGUUGGUUAAGCGUGUUGUGAAAUGUAGAUGCUCAACAUCUGAAUUGCAGCGCGAACUGUCCGACUUGAGUGCGCGGAAAGCAGGCGGAAUUCGUUGUGUAGCGGUGAAAUGCUUAGAUAUGACGAAGAACUCCGAUUGCGAAGGCAGCUUGCUGUAGCGUAACUGACGCUGAAGCUCGAAAGUGCGGGUAUCGAACAGGAUUAGAUACCCCAGUAGUC